AACGAACGCUGGCGGCAUGCCUAGCACAUGCAAGUCGAACGAGACCUUCGGGUCUAGUGGCGCACGGGUGCGUAACGCGUGGGAACCUGCCCUUAGGUUCGGAAUAACUCCCCGAAAGGGGUGCUAAUACCGGAUAAUGUCUUCGGACCAAAGAUUUAUCGCCUUUGGAUGGGCCCGCGUUGGAUUAGCUAGUUGGUAGGGUAAAAGCCUACCAAGGCGACGAUCCAUAGCUGGUCUGAGAGGAUGAUCAGCCACACUGAGACUGAGACACGGCCCAGACUCCUACGGGAGGCAGCAGUGGGGAAUAUUGGACAAUGGGCGAAAGCCUGAUCCAGCAAUGCCGCGUGAGUGAUGAAGGCCUUAGGGUUGUAAAGCUCUUUUACCCGGGAUGAUAAUGACAGUACCGGGAGAAUAAGCUCCGGCUAACUCCGUG
rnacentral:rRNA from 1 species